AGAGUUUGAUCACUGUGCUCAGGACGAACGCUGGCGGCGUGCUUAACACAUGCAAGUCUACGAGAAUAGUGUAGCAAUAUGCUUAGUAAAGUGGCGCACGGGUGAGUAACGCGUAGGUAAUUUACCUCGGGGAGAGAGAUAACAUCGCGAAAGCGGUGCUAAUACCUCAUAAUGCAGCGGACCCGCAUGGGUAUGUUGUUAAAGGGUUAUACCACCUCGAGAUAAGCCUGCGUCCGAUUAGCUAGUUGGUAGGGUAACUGCCUACCAAGGCGACGAUCGGUAGCUGGUCUGAGGGGAUGAUCAGCCACACUGGAACUGAGACACGGUCCAGACUCCUACGGGAGGCAGCAGUGAGGAAUAUUGGGCAAUGCCCGCAAGGGUGACCCAGCAACGCCGCGUGGAGGAUGAAGUCCUUAUGGAUGUAAACUUCUGUUGGAGGGGACGAAAAUCUCGGCACACCGAGAAUUGACUGUACCCUCAAAGAAAGCACCGGCUAACUACGUGCCAGCAGCCGCGGUAAUACGUAGGGUGCAAGCGUUGUCCGGAUUUACUGGGUGUAAAGGGCGCGCAGGCGGGUUGGUAAGUCAUUGGUGAAAUUUUUCAGCUUAACUGAAAAACUGCCUUUGAUACUAUCAAUCUUGAGUACGGUAGAGGAAGAUGGAAUUUCCAGGUGUAGCGGUGAAAUGCGUAGAUAUCUGGAAGAACACCAGUUGCGAAGGCGAUCUUCUGGACCGUCACUGACGCUCAGGCGCGAAAGCGUGGGUAGCAAACGGGAUUAGAAGACCCUGGUAGUCCACGCUGUAAACUAUGGAUACUAAAUGUUGGUUCGUACGGAAUCAGUGUCGUAGCUAACGCGUUAAGUAUCCCCACCUGGGGGAGUACGAUCGCAAGGUUGAAACUCAAAGGAAUUGACGGGGGCCCGCACAAGCAGUGGAGCAUGUGGUUUAAUUCGAUGCAACGCGAAGAACCUUACCUAGGCUCGAAAGACUAGAUUAUCCUUUGGUGAAAGCCGAAGGCGCCGCAAGGCCAUCUAGACAGGUGCUGCAUGGCUGUCGUCAGCUCGUGUCGUGAGAUGUUGGGUUAAGUCCUGCAACGAGCGCAACCCUUGCCGUUAGUUACAAGUGUCUAACGGGACUGCCGGUUUAACACCGGAGGAAGGUGGGAAUGACGUCAAGUCAGCAUGGCCUUUAUGUCCAGGGCUACACACACGCUACAAUGGCCGGUACAAUGGGUUGCCAAGCCGCGAGGCGGAGCUAAUCCUCUAAAGCCGGUCUCAGUUCGGAUUGCAGGCUGCAACCCGCCUGCAUGAAGUCGGAGUUGCUAGUAACCGCGCGUCAGCCAUAGUGCGGUGAAUACGUUCCCGGGCCUUGUACACACCGCCCGUCACGUCAUGGGAGCCGGUAACACCUGAAGCCGGUGGGCCAACCGAAAGGGGGCAGCCGUCGAGGGUGGGAAGGGUGACUGGGACGAAGUCGUAACAAGGUAGCCGU
rnacentral:rRNA from 1 species